rnacentral:rRNA from 1 species
GACGAACGCUGGCGGCGUGCUUAACACAUGCAAGUCGAACGAAGUGGCGAACGGGUGAGUAACGCGUAAUCAACCUGCCCUUCAGCGGGGGACAACAGUUGGAAACGACUGCUAAUACCGCAUACUGCAGGAGGGGAUUGCGUCUGAUUAGCUAGUUGGGGGGGUAACGGCCCACCAAGGCGAUGAUCAGUAGGCGGGCGGGGAGGCAGAAGGGCCACAUUGGGACUGAGACAAGGCCCAGACUGCCACGGGAGGCAGCAGGGGGGAAUCUGCCGCAAUGGACGAAAGUCGGACGGAGCAAAGCCGGGGGAGUGAUGACGGCCUUCGGGGUGUAAAGCUCUGUUAAUCGGGACGCGGUACCGGAAGAGAAAGCCACGGCUAACUACGUGCCAGCAGCCGCGGUAAUAC